rnacentral:tRNA from 1 species
GCCCGUGUAGCUCAGUGGUAGAGCGCACCCUUGGUAAGGGUGAGGUCACGAGUUCAACUCUCGUCAUGGGCU